rnacentral:rRNA from 1 species
AUUGAACGCUGGCGGCAGGCUUAACACAUGCAAGUCAGCGGGGUGAUGGUGCUUGCACUAUCACUUAGCGGCGGACGGGUGAGUAAUGCUUAGGAAUCUGCCUAUUAGUGGGGGACAACAUCUCGAAAGGAAUGCUAAUACCGCAUACGUCCUACGGGAGAAAGCAGGGGAUCACUUGUGACCUUGCGCUAAUAGAUGAGCCUAAGUCGGAUUAGCUAGUUGGUGGGGUAAAGGCCUACCAAGGCGACGAUCUGUAGCGGGUCUGAGAGGAUGAUCCGCCAAACUGGGACUGAGACACGGCCCAGACUCCUACAGGAGGCAGCAGUGGGGAAUAUUGGACAAUGGGGGGAACCCUGAUCCAGCCAUGCCGCGUGUGUGAAGAAGGCCUUAUGGUUGUAAAGCACUUUAAGCGAGGAGGAGGCUCUUUUGGUUAUUACCCAAGAUGAGUGGACGUUACUCGCAGAAUAAGCACCGGCUAACUCUGUGCCAGCAGCCGCCGUAA